rnacentral:lncRNA from 1 species
GGAAAGAGAGAAUAACAUCUCAAAAAGAAGAAGAAGGAACAGUGAGGAAAGGGCCAUGGACUAUGGAAGAAGAUUUGAUCCUCUUUAAUUACAUACUUAAUCAUGGUGAAGGUCUUUGGAACUCUGUCGCCAAAGCCUCUGGUAAACCAAAAACAUAUACAUACUUUAUUUUCCUAACAAUAUGAAAUUGAUGUUUUGUUUUUAAAAAGUUUGUAAAAUGAUUAGAAGUAGGUUGAUAUAAUUGCGAAUAAUGACAUACAGUCCCACAUGUUUUUUAAUUGGUUAUGUUCUGAUAAUCAAUUAUAUAUUAUGUAUGUAUAUAAUAAUUAAGGUCUAAAACGUACGGGAAAAAGUUGUCGGCUCCGGUGGCUGAACUAUCUCAGGCCAGAUGUGCGGCGAGGGAACAUAACAGCAGAAGAACAGCUUUUGAUCAUUCAACUUCAGGCUAAGCUUGGAAACAAGUAUAGUUAGUUAUAUAUUACAUGACAUGCGUACGUAUGUAAUUAAUUAGUUUGAUUAGAAAACUUACGGGUCUUAAAUGAAUAUAGGUGGUCGAAGAUUGCGAAACAUCUACCGGGGAGAACGGAUAACGAGAUAAAGAAUUUCUGGAGGACAAAGAUUCAGAGACACAUGAAAUUGUCGUCGUCGAAAACUAUGAAUAGUCGUC